GUGGUUCCCAGGGGAGACAGUACAACAGGGAGGUGGUUCCCAGGGGAGACAGUACAACAGGGAGGUGGUUCCCAGGGGAGACAGUACAACAGGGAGGUGGUUCCCAGGGGAGACAGUACAACAGGGAGGUGGUUCCUGGGGGAGACAGUACAACAACAGUAUGGAGAUGUUUCUACUCACUUCUCUAAGUCACUCCGGGUAAAAGUUUUGAUAAAUGAAUUUGAUGUAAACACUGAACUGUAAAUUAGUUAAUGGGAUUGUAACUGUAAGUUAGUUCAUGGGAUUUUUACCCCCAAAACUAUUGUUUAGUAUUUUUCCACUGAUAAUACAGUCUCAAAAAGUGAACAUGUCAACAGGGAUGUUUUCAGGAACGAGCACUAAAAAGUCACAUGUUGAUGCGAUUUGCAGUAUUUUUCCCCAGUUAACUGUUGAAUUAUUAUCUAAAAAGGCAAGUCUCCAACUAAAUGAGGUAACAAAGGACAAGUCCCAAAUGUAACCGUAUUACCCAUUGUGUCUGAAAUGUUGAUCUGACGUGUCUCUGGUCCAAAGUAGUGCACUUUAUAGGGAAUAAGGUGAGAGUUAGGACACAUGCAUUGGUUCAAGUGUGCUGUGUGUUACAUACGUUAGGACAGUGGCUCCCAACUACGCUCCUCAGGGACCCCCAAUAGUACACAUUUUCAUUGUAGCCCCAGCCAAGCACAGCUGAUUCAACUUGUCAACUAAUUAUCAGGCUCUCAUUGAGUUGAAUUGGGUGUGCUUGUCCAGGAAUACAACAAAAAUGUGUGCUGUUGGGGGUACUGGAGGACCGGAGUUGGGAGCCACUGCUUUAGGAGAUGCAUGACUGAAACAGAAACUAUAACCACGGUUUUCAUAGCCACAUGCAUUACUUGAGAAACAUAUUUUAUUGACCAAUUAAGUUGUAUCAUUUUAGAAUUAUAACUUUUUAUUAUUUCCGUUAUUAUUUUUGUUAUUAACAUGAUGGUAUUUCACUGAAAGAUAAGGAAUUGAACUGUUUUUAAGACUGUUUAUUUUUAUUCUGUGUAUUUUGCUGUAUUGAUACUUAUUAAAUGUUUACAUGUACGCCUCUUGGACACAAUCCGGCAGGUGUUUUUUUAUGUGCAGUAUGUGCCUCUGAUAUCAUUUCUUUAAGUGCGUCAGUAUUUUGCGGAUUGCACAAGACCAAAAAAACUACAAACAAAUUAAGAAAUAAAGAAGUAGACUAAGUAGGA
ensembl:lncRNA